GAAUCACGUGGUCGGGGAAGCGGUCAAGGUCAGGGAAGCGGCCAGGGCAGCGGUCAAGGCCAGGGCAGCGGUCAAGGCCAGGGAAGCGGUCAGGCAAGCGGCCACGGUCAGGGUAGCGGCCAGGGUAGCGGUCAAGGUCAGGGUAGCGGUCAAGGCCAGGGAAGCGGUCAAGGCCAGGGAAGCGGCCAGGGAAGAGUUCAAGGGACUGGCCAGGGAAGCGGUCAAGGCCAGGGAGG